RRAAAAUUCCUGGUGCCUUUCAAGCCUAAGCAGUUCGGGUAAAUAACUACACAUGAUGGAGGCUCUCCACUCCCUGGAUGGCCGGAUGCAUGGAGGAUCUUUGUUCAUAUUGACAGGGAAAUUGGAGUUCUAACUAAGGCCCCUAAGAGCUCGAUAUUUAUCUAUUGAACAUAUGUGACAUGAAGGGAGCGCACGCCUCCGGCGGCUAGGGUUUGGGCGCCAUCCGAGUCGCCCUAGCAGGGAUGACGCGGGGGCUGAAGGGGAACCACCUCGACAUGCAUCGAGUAUUGAUUGAUCGUGGAUGGGGCUGAUAGAUAAAUAGAUAGAUAGAAGAUGAGCCGUCGCCGGAGCACUAGAGCGCGCUCUGCCCAUAUAUUGGACGGUCCUCAGAGUCAUCUCGGUCUGGCCCAAGCUCGACCGUUGCCGGUCUGGUUCAUGAAAACAGGACCGCGACACUGGUCGGUCUGGUCUGGACCGGACUGCCGGCGGCCGGUCCAAACGCUGGCUCGGACAGUGUCCUCCCUAAGACAUGCUCAUUAGAGACAAGCUCCGAAAAUGCAGAAUGCAGAACAAUAAAAAUCUACCAAAAAUGGUAAAUCUACUCCAGUAUUGCUCCUUGUAAAACUUAUUGGAGAUAGUGGCGACGAUUGCUAGCAAUGGCCAUUAAUUUGCUCUAAACUUCUAUGCAGUCGUUGAUUGGCCCAAGCUAUGUAUAAAUCAGGACAAUACGUGCUCAUGGGAGACAUGUUGAGGUAAAUUAUGGCCAAUACAUGCACAUGGGAGGGAGAGAGGAACUGUGGCAUGUGUAGGUCCUAGAUGGAAGGAAAUCGUGGGAGGUGAGCACAACGGUGAGCUAUCAUGUUUGAGUCUGCUGUAGAUUUCACAUUUUUUCCUGUUCUAUUGGAAGAUUGCAACUAAGCUGAAACGUCAACAAAAUCAUGGAAGAAUUCUUUUAAGGGAUGCAUAAACAUCCAUAGCAGAAAGAUCAUCCAAGAAGAUAUAUCUGGAAAGUUUGCUUGUUCGAAACUAAGUUUUUGCAGCAAAGGAUCGGACUGAAACCAUUAUAGAGAUCAUGGAGAAAGGUGCUGGUGUGUUGUGCAAUUGAAUAUAAAUCUAGGGAGGAGAGAGAUAUCCGGAGGAGAAACAUAAGGUGGUGUCAAGGGGAUUAGGAGAUUCGAGUUGAGGCAUGCCGACGUUGUAUCGAGGAGAUUGUGCACAUACAGGAACUAGCGAGGGAGAUGAUGGAGAAAGAAGGCAGGACGCUGUGCUGACCUACCGACGUUGUAUAGAGAAGACUGUGCCCAUACCGGUGCUAGCGAAGGAGAUGAUGGAGAAAGAAGGCCAGACGAUCUAUGCUGUUAGAUCAAUUUGAAUUUACCGUUGUACUAUUGUUGGAAUCCUCGUCCGAUGUUUGAAUCCCAUGGAGGAACUAGGGAAACAAAUCCAAUUAUUUUAUUUUGAUAGACAAAGUGACAAUAUCAAGGCAGAGUGUAUCAUUUCACUCAUGAAGUUAGUACACAUGAGUAUGAAUUUCUGUUAGUCAUACACUAGAGGAAGAACGACCUCCUCGCCGUUGGCACAUAUGCACCUGAGAUUCCUUUGUACCUUCAUGUGUUGAGAUGCCAACAAGUCUUUUUUGAGAAAUUUGGUCAAUAUGUUGGAUAUGGAGGCAAGCUACACUAGAUCAUAGCUUCUAGUUAUUGACUACUACCUAAUCAUGAAUCUUCUCAUUGCCGCCAGCACCAUAAAUUGCCACCAGGCACUCGUCACCGUCACCACUGUCAGCGGAUCACCACUGAACCACCGCUAGACUAUGUCAUGAGCGAUGGCGGAGUUACAAACAUUGAUAAUGUCCGAAAGACGGAAUUCAUCUGUUACAACAUUCUACCAUGUAACACGUCGUCGUCCCAUUGCAACGGCAGCCCACCGGCGUCAUCUUUGUCUCCUGUAGACAAACGAUGUGGCAGGUGGAUGCAACAAUAAGUUACUGAACUAUCGAGCGCCCAUCCGGACAGUUCUACCCUCCGACAUUUCAUCGUAGGAAGACAACAUUUUAUACAUGAUACUUGAUGGUUUGGAACGAUAAAUGAAAACAAGGUGAAAAACAAUGGGCGAUGCAGAGGCAAGGGUUUUCACAUGAUACUUGAUGGUUUGGAAAGAUAGACGUAAACAACUUGAAAGGAAUGUGAUGCCUACAGGAUAUAUACAUGUAUAUGAGUUUAGCACUUUAGCUCAACUAUGAUUCACAUGAGGUAGGAACGAUUCUAGUUAGGCCGUGAGACAAUUGAUGUAAGAUGAACUUAGGUUCCGACAUUUCGACGAAGGUCGCAGGUACAGGUACGACAAACCAUCCAUGUUAGAAUGAACCGAGUGAUACUAUGCGAUGUUGGGAAUGGACAGGUGUGUGUAGAUGCGAUGAGAUACGACGGAUCACUAAUUUGUUUUCCAUAUCACAGGGCGGAGGCCCACAUCGGAGACACCUCACUUGGAAUAAGCUAACAAUAAGUCUCUCCCCAUCGAAGAAAAUCACAAUAAUUUUCCUUUGGUCAGGCCAGAAUAAUAAAAUUGGUUAACAAACCUCGCCUCAUAGCCAUAUAGCCGUUCCUGGUGUCUUUCAAGCCUACACAAUUCUUUUGACAGACGCUUUCCACUCUCUAGACCUAUGGAGGAUCUCUAUCCAUCAUUGCUAAAGGAAACUGGAAUUCGAACUCAGAAGUUGGGGAGAGACUGAUACGUAUGUAUCGACUGUGUAUAGUGACAUGACGGUGCCUCCUUGGCCCACAACAUUAUUUUAGCACAUCUCUCACGAGUUUAAUUUGAUAUCUUUUAAACCUACACAACGGUGCCUCCUUUCAGCCUACACAAUUCCUCUGAAAAAUAGUUUUCCACUCUCUCAAGAUAUAUAGGGAGAUCUCUAUCUAUAAUUGCUAGAGGAAAUUGGAAUUUGAACUGAGAAGUUGGGGAGACACCGAGUAUUUAUCGAUUGGGCAUAGUAACACGCCUCCUUGGCCAACCAUAUUAAUUUAACAAAUAAGGUACACUUCUGACUCCAGUUUAAUUUGUUAUCUCUGCUUUUAUGUGUUUAGGAAAGCCAUAUAUUUCCGCACCAUAUAGGACCUCAUCGGGUGCGCACUUCACAGGCUAUCUCAACCACAACCCAAUACAAUAUGGAAGUGAGACUGGACACUUAGCCAAACAGGGAAUACAAAAAGUAUCUUAACUUUGUAAAUCAUUUGUUAUGCAAUAUGGAAUAUAUUCCAAUAAGACACAACUAAAUUACCAGUCAUCAUUUUUUUAGAAAAGGAGGUUAACCUCCGGCCUGUGCAUCAAUUGAUGCAUACGACCAUUUAUUAAACCAAAACCAAAUAGUUCUGGAGUCGAAUACAAGCUCAUGCGGAGCUGAAGAUAACUCAUCAUGAAAAGAGAUAAAAGAGCAACAACCGGCAAAAAUUGGACAUGAUGACUAAACACAUAUCCUAUUAGUGGACCGCCAUCCAAACCGGCUGAAGAUAACCUGGGUUAUCAUCUCUCAUCGAGCAGACCUAGUAACCAAAGGCUCACUGGCUUCCGCAGUAGUUAGUAACGACCACAUACGGAUCCAUGUAGUGGCCCGGAAGAUAACUGCUACCUCAAAAAGAUCCCCGGCAGCGGGCCGGAAAUACUUCUGAUUGUUCUGCUGUGUAUCCCUUGCAACGGCGCCAGGAAGUAGUUGUGUCGAGGGCACCAGGAAUCCUUCAGCUACGGCUACGCCUUAAGGGACUUCCUAGGCAAGAAUGCAAAG
rnacentral:lncRNA from 1 species